rnacentral:rRNA from 1 species
GGCUAGAAUCAAAUAUGCUUAAGUCACCAGAGCUCAUCUGACUUUGAGAGAUAAGGAGUGUCAGCCCUGAUUAGGACUUGAAUGGGAGGCCACCAAAAGAAUAUCAGGUAUUAUAGUGU